GUAGGGAAUCUUCCACAAUGGGCGCAAGCCUGAUGGAGCAACGCCGCGUGAGUGAAGAAGGGUUUCGGGUCGUAAAACUCUGUUGUAUGGGAAGAACGGGUGUAAGAGGAAAUGCUCACACAGUGACGGUACCAUACCAGAAAGGCACGGCUAAAUACGU
rnacentral:rRNA from 1 species